UGAACGCUGGCGGCGUGCCUAAUACAUGCAAGUCGAGCGACCAGACGCGGAGCUUGCUCCUCUGACGUUAGCGGCGGACGGGUGAGUAACACGUGGAUAACCUACCUAUAAGACUGGGAUAACUUCGGGAAACCGGAGCUAAUACCGGAUAAUAUAUUGAACCGCAUGGUUCAAUAGUGAAAGACGGUUUUGCUGUCACUUAUAGAUGGAUCCGCGCCGCAUUAGCUAGUUGGUAAGGUAACGGCUUACCAAGGCAACGAUGCGUAGCCGACCUGAGAGGGUGAUCGGCCACACUGGAACUGAGACACGGUCCAGACUCCUACGGGAGGCAGCAGUAGGGAAUCUUCCGCAAUGGGCGAAAGCCUGACGGAGCAACGCCGCGUGAGUGAUGAAGGUCUUCGGAUCGUAAAACUCUGUUAUUAGGGAAGAACAAAUGUGUAAGUAACUAUGCACGUCUUGACGGUACCUAAUCAGAAAGCCACGGCUAACUACGUG
rnacentral:rRNA from 1 species